UAGGGAAUUUUCCACAAUGGGCGAAAGCCUGAUGGAGCAACACCGCGUGCAGGAUGAAGGCCCUAGGGUCGUAAACUGCUUUUAUGAGUGAUAAUUAUGAUAGUAGCUCAAGAAUAAGGGUCGGCUAACUACGUGCCAGCAGCCGCGGUCAUACGUAGGACCCAAGCGUUAUCCGGAAUUACUGGGCGUAAAGAGUUGCGUAGGCGGCUUAUUAAGCAAGGUGUGAAAUCGUACGGCUCAACCGUACACA
rnacentral:rRNA from 1 species